rnacentral:rRNA from 1 species
GGAAUUUUCCGCAAUGGGCGAAAGUCUGACGGAGCGACGCUGCGUGAAGGAUGACGGCCUGCGGGUUGUAAACUUCUUUUCUCGAAGAAGAAGCUCUGACGGUAUUCGAGGAAUAAGCAUCGGCUAACUCCGUGCCAGCAGCCGCGGUAAUACGGAGGGUGCAAGUGUUAUUCGGAAUGAUUGGGCGUAAAGCGUCUGUAGGCUGUAUAGAAAGUCUUUUGUUAAAUGCCUCAGCUCAACCGAGAUCCAGCAAAGGAAACUUCUAUACUUGAGGGAAGUAGAGGUACAGGGAAUUCCCGGUGGAGCGGUGAAAUGCGUAGAUAUCGGGAGGAACACCAAUAUGGCGAAGGCACUGUACUGGGCUUUACCUGACGCUCAGAGACGAAAGCUAAAGGAGUAAUUAGGAUUAGAUACCCCAGUAGUC